GAAUUCGCCCUUAGAGUUUGAUCCUGGCUCAGGACGAACGCUGGCGGCGCGCCUAACACAUGCAAGUCGAACGAGCGAGAGAGAGCUUGCUUUCUCGAGCGAGUGGCGAACGGGUGAGUAACGCGUGAGGAACCUGCCUCAAAGAGGGGGACAACAGUUGGAAACGACUGCUAAUACCGCAUAAGCCCACGGGUCGGCAUCGACCAGAGGGAAAAGGAGCAAUCCGCUUUGAGAUGGCCUCGCGUCCGAUUAGCUAGUUGGUGAGGUAAUGGCCCACCAAGGCAACGAUCGGUAGCCGGACUGAGAGGUUGAACGGCCACAUUGGGACUGAGACACGGCCCAGACUCCUACGGGAGGCAGCAGUGGGGAAUAUUGCACAAUGGGGGAAACCCUGAUGCAGCGACGCCGCGUGGAGGAAGAAGGUCUUCGGAUUGUAAACUCCUGUUGUUGGGGAAGAUAAUGACGGUACCCAACAAGGAAGUGACGGCUAACUACGUGCCAGCAGCCGCGGUAAAACGUAGGUCACAAGCGUUGUCCGGAAUUACUGGGUGUAAAGGGAGCGCAGGCGGGAAGACAAGUUGGAAGUGAAAUCUAUGGGCUCAACCCAUAAACUGCUUUCAAAACUGUUUUUCUUGAGUAGUGCAGAGGUAGGCGGAAUUCCCGGUGUAGCGGUGGAAUGCGUAGAUAUCGGGAGGAACACCAGUGGCGAAGGCGGCCUACUGGGCACCAACUGACGCUGAGGCUCGAAAGUGUGGGUAGCAAACAGGAUUAGAUACCCUGGUAGUCCACACCGUAAACGAUGA
rnacentral:rRNA from 1 species